CCCUUAGAUGUUCUGGGCCGCACACGCGCUACAAUGGCAAAGUCAACGAGCUUAUCCUAUGCUGACAAGCACAGGUAAUCUUUUCAGUCUUUGUCGUGAUGGGGAUAGACCCUUGUAAUUAUUGGUCUCCAACGAGGAAUUCCUAGUAAACGCAAGUCAUCAACUUGCAUUGAUUACGUCCCUGCCCUUUGUACACACCGCCCGUCGCACCUACCGAUUGAAUGGUCCGGUGAAGUCUUCGGACCGAUGCUGACUCGUUGGCAACGGAAAGUUGAGUAAACCUUACCAUUUAGAGGAAGGUGAAGUCGUAACA
rnacentral:rRNA from 1 species